rnacentral:rRNA from 1 species
CACGUAGGGGGCGAGCGUUGUCCGGAUUCAUUGAGCGUAAAGCGCGUGUAGGCGGUCCGGUAAGUCCGCUGUGAAAGUCGAGGGCUCAACCCUCGAAUGCCGGUGGAUACUGUCGGGCUUGAGUACGGGAGAGGCGAGUGGAAUUCCUGGUGUAGCGGUGAAAUGCGCAGAUAUCAGGAGGAACACCGAUUGCGAAGGCAGUGGUCUGGGCCGAUACUGACGCUGAGGAGCGAAAGCGUGGGGAGCGAACAGG